UGGACCAAUCAGCAGCUGCCACAUCGCUGCCUUUUAUCUUUAGGAGAGUUUCUCUCUCCGCGUAACCACUCCACACGCGUGCUGUCGGCACGUGUGCCACACGCGCCUAUCUGGAUCAAUUAAAACGCGCCAGCGGUCCCGGUUUGCAGAGUUCAACACAGUUUAAACUCUUCAUCACCUCUUUCUUCCACAUCAGAUUCAACAUGUCAAAUGCAAUGGUUUCAACCGUUGAAAGAGAGAUUCAACACUCCAUUGUAACUAGUCUUA
rnacentral:lncRNA from 1 species